rnacentral:lncRNA from 1 species
UUCUAUGCAGCAUCAUUCCUUUGAGUCAUGUCAUGAAGAAUGUAGAGACUCCCAUCUUUUUGCCCUUUCAACAUUGUCAUACAACAUUUAGAAAUCUUUUAUGACCCAUUUUCAAAAUUCACUAUGAAACUAGAGUCAUCUAAUUGCCUGGCUGAAAUAAGGUUUUUCUUCAACUCAGGCCUCACAUUUCUCAAUGUAUGCUUCUUUCCAUCUGAUUGCUUGAUAACAACAUUUUCAAUGCCCAAGAUUAUCAACAAGAUAAAUCAAACCACCAACCACAUCUGUAUAGGAUGAAAAAUAUGACAUUUUUAGGCAAACAUGAAAUGAA